AGUGAACGCUGGCGGUAGGCCUAACACAUGCAAGUCGAACGGCAGCACAGUAAGAGCUUGCUCUUACGGGUGGCGAGUGGCGGACGGGUGAGGAAUACAUCGGAAUCUACUUUUUCGUGGGGGAUAACGUAGGGAAACUUACGCUAAUACCGCAUACGACCUACGGGUGAAAGCAGGGGAUCUUCGGACCUUGCGCGGUUGAAUGAGCCGAUGUCGGAUUAGCUAGUUGGCGGGGUAAAGGCCCACCAAGGCGACGAUCCGUAGCUGGUCUGAGAGGAUGGUCAGCCACACUGGAACUGAGACACGGUCCAGAUUCCUACGGGAGGCAGCAGUGGGGAAUAUUGGACAAUGGGCGCAAGCCUGAUCCAGCCAUACCGCGUGGGUGAAGAAGGCCUUCGGGUUGUAAAGCCCUUUUGUUGGGAAAGAAAAGCAGCAGGUUAAUACCCCGCUGUUCUGACGGUACCCAAAGAAUAAGCACCGGCUAACUUCGUG
rnacentral:rRNA from 1 species